ensembl:lncRNA
GCCUUGUUGUACUCCUUUACCAAUUUUUAACCAGUCUGUUGUUCCAUGUCCAGUUAUAAUAGUUGCUUCUUGACUUGCAUCCUGCUGCUGCUGCUGCUAAGUCGCUUCAAUCGUGUCCAGCUCUAUGCGACCCCAUAGAUGGCAGCCCAUCAGGCUCCACCGUCCCUGGGAUUCUCCAGGAUAUGAAAAAAAAAAUGGAAGUUAAGGAUGACUGCAAUGUUUUUCAUGUUUUUUGGCUAUGAGGCAUGUGGAUCUUAGCUCCCUGACCAGGGAUCAAACCCACACCCCCUGCACUGGAAGGCAAAGUCCUAACCACUGGACCACCAUGUAAAACCCCUAAUAUUUAUCUUUAUUUAUUUAUUUGGCUGUACAGGGUCUUAGUUGUGGCAUGCAGGAUCUAGUUACCUGACUAGGGAUUGAACCCAGGCCUCUUGCAUUGGGAGUGUGGAGUCUUAGCCACUGGACCACCAAGGGAUUCCCAGAAAACAUCUUCACUAAGACUUAUUUAAAUAUUCAACAAACAGUUACUGAACGUCCACAGUGUCCUAUCAAAUAAGGUUUCUGAUUUCAUGGAAUUUACAUUAUAGUGAAGGAGAGAAGUAAAAAGCAAUGAAUAAGAUCAUCUCAGAUAAUGGCAAAUAAAAAUCAAAUAGGGUAGUAUGAUAAGGAUGGGAAGAAGACAUUAUUUAAGAUGAAUGUUCAGGGAAGGCUUCUCUGAGGAGGUGAUCUUAAGGUAAGACCUGAGUGACAAAGAAUCAGUCAAAUUACUAUCUGCCUGCAGUCAAGGAGUGGUAAACAUACACAUGAAUUUAGGAGCUCUAUCGUCUUUUUUUUUUUUUUCGGUUGUGCCAGGGCAACAUUUUAGUUCCUUGACCAGAGAUUGAAUCUGUGCUUCCUGAAGUGGAAGCAUGGGGUCCUACCCACUGGACCACCAGGGAAUUCCCAAGAGCUCAACAGUCUUUAGAUUGGGAACCACUGUCACAGAGCAAAGAUUUUGCCGUCAACACUGGCUUCAAACUUAGCCCUUAUCUUGCUCAGUCCAGACCAUAUGAGCCUGAGAUAUUCCUUUCCAGGCUCUAACCCACAGACUACAGUUUUCUGUCAGUAAAAUGGGGCCCAGAGCCUAGAUUCUAGGGUGCUACAAGAGUUAAUUAAUGCCUAUAACAUUCUUUAAGUUCUUUAGAUGAAAGACCUACUGCUACAUAGAGGGUUAUUAGAGCCUCCCAAGCCCCAGGGAAAAUGUCUCCAUAUCCUAGGUUCUCUUCUCUCCAGUCCGUAGCUAUGGAACAGUGGUUCUCAAACUUCAAUGGGAAUUAAAAUCAAAGGUUUUUAUAAUGUGAAUUUCUGGGUUCUCUACUUCAAGUUCCUUGUUUGUCUGCUUGAAGUUCUGAUUCUCCCUAAGGUUCUGGUUCUCAUCUUCUUGGUUCUGUGUUCUUCUGUCCUCUUGUCCUGUGCCUCAUACUUCCCAUUAUUCCAGAUUUUUGUCUUUGCAAAUGGACCUGAGUGCGCAUUUGUCUAUAUAUACUAUGAUCAGAGACAUUUUUGGUCAUUUUUUCUGAGAGUCAUUCAGAGCAGCUAUUGGGAGAGGCAGGAAUGUGUCUGUAUCUACUUCUCAAAUGUAGUCAUGAGUUAGAAGGAGGAUUUGGGGAAAACUUUUUAAAAAUAUAUUUAUUUAUUUAUUUUUGGCUGCUUGCACUGGGCCUCUGUUGCUGCAAGCAAGUUUUCUCUGGAUGUAGCGAGCGGGAGCUUCUCUCUAGUUGUGGAGCACAGGUUCUAGGUACAUGAGCUUCAGCAGUUGUGAUGUAAGAGCUGAGUUGCUCCUCGGCAUGUGGGAUCUUCCCGGACUAAGGAUCAAAUGUGCGUUCUCCACAUUGGCAGGUGGAUUCUUUACCACUGGACCAUGAGGGAAGUCCCAGAAACUUUCAAAUAAAAGGAGGAGGAAUUGUUGACUGGUACUAAAUGGGAGAUAAAUACAUAGAAAGUACUUAAUCCUGAUUUGAGGACAAGUUCACUGCUUCUUACUUUUUUUUUUUUUGGUGUUGUAUCCCAGUAUAUGGGCUGUGCAGGUCUUGAGUCAUCAAUUCAUUCAUUCAACAAAUAUGUAUGUAUUAAAUAUCUAUCCUAUGUCAGGUAGUGUUUAUGUGUUGGAAUUCACUGUUAAAUCAGAUCUCUUUUUUUUGUGGAGUACCCAUUCUAUUAGGAUGAGACAGAAAAUAAAUAUAUAAAUAUACAUACAUAAGAUUGUUUCAGACACUGAUAAAUACAAUAAUACAAGCUAAUGUGAUAAAGAGGGUGAGUGACUACCUUAGAUUAACAUUUGAGCAGAUACCUAAAUGACAAAAAGGAAGUCUUGAGAAUAGGGAGGAGGGAACAGAGGGGAAGCAUUUUUGGCAAAGUGAAUAUCACUGCAAAGGCCUUCAGGCAGGAAGAACUUCAGAAUGUUUGAGAGACUGAGAAAAGGCCCAUAUAUCUAGAGUGAAGGAGUGAGGGAGAGAAAAUUUCAAGAUGAAGCUGGAGUGUCUGAGGAUUAGGGUUGUAGGUAUAAUGUAUACCUUGGAAGAAGUAGUGCUGGUGAGACCUUGUCUCUUGGGGUAAGAAUAGGAGAGGCCAAUUCAGAAUUGCCAAAACAAUCUUGAAAAUGAAGGACUGUAUUGGGGGACUCACAUUUUCCAAUUUCAAAACUUAAUUCAAAGCUACAGUAAUCAAGACAAUGCAAUACUGGCAUAAGGAAAGACAUACAGAAUUGAUAGUCCAGAAACAAACCCUCACUCUUAUAGUUAAUUAAUUUUUGAUAAGCGUGCCAAGACAAUUUAAUGGUGAAAGAAUGGUCUUUUCAACAAGUGAUACUGGGAAAGCUAGAUAUCUACAUGCAAAAGAAUAAAGUUGGUCCCUUCCUCACACCAUAUGCAAAAUUUAAUUCAAAAUGGAUCAAAAAUCUAAAUGUAAGAGCUAAAUCACCUCUUAGAAGAACACAUAGGUAUAAAUUUUCAUGACCUUGGAUUUGGAAAUGGUUUCUUAGAUAUGAUACCAAAAGCACAAAUAACAAAAUAAAAAAAUUAAUUGGGCAUAACCAAAAUUUAAAACUUCUGUCCUCCAAAUGACACUGUCCAGAAAGUGAAAAGACAACCCAUAGAAUGGGAGAAAUAUUUGCAAUCAUAUAUCUUUUAAGGGACUUUUAUCUACAAUUUAUUAAGAACUCUUACAAAAUAAUAAUAAAAGAGACAAAUAACCUGAUUUAACAGUGGACAAGGGGGGAACAUCCCUGGUGGUCCAGAGGUUAAGAAUCCACACUCUACUGCAGGGGGCAUGGACUCAAUCCCUAGUCAGGGAACUAAGAUCCCACAUGCAGUGCAGCAUGGCCAAAAAAAAAUAAAUAAAUAAAUGUUUUUUAAAGUGGACAAGGAAUAUAAGUAAACAUUUAGACAUAUAAAUGGCCUAUAAGCACAUGAAAAGAUGCUUAACAUCAUUAGCCAUCAGAGAAAUGCAAAUCAAAAAUACAAUGAAAUACCAUUCAUAUCCACUAAGAUGGUUAUAAAUAACAAGUAUUGGUAAGGAUGUGGAGAAACUAGAACCCUCACACAUUGUUGGUGGGAAUGUAAAAUGGUAUAGCAGCUCUGGAAAACAGUUUGUGUUCCUCAGAAAGUUAAAUACAGGAUUAACAUAUGGCCCAGUAAUUCUACUCCUAGGUAUAUACCCCAAAGAAUUGAAACCAAGCACUCAAAUACACACUUGUACAUCAGUGUUAAUGACCCAGCUACUCAAACUGAUGAAUAGAUAAACAAAAUGUAUUAUAUCCAUACAGUGAACUAUUAUUCAGCAAUAAAAUGGAACAAAGCACUGAUACAUACUACAACACUGAUGAACAUUGAAAGUAUCAUUCUAACUGAAAGAAGUUAACCACAAAGGACCACGUUGUAUGAUUCCAUUUAUAUGAACUAGCCAGUACAGGCAAAUAUAUAGAGACAAAAGGGAUACAAGUGGUUGCCUAGGACUGGGAACCUAGGAUGUUGAGAGAUAAUGGCUAAUGGAUUUAGGAUUCCU